UACGUAGGGGGCAAGCGUUAUCCGGAAUUACUGGGUGUAAGGGGUGAGUAGGCGGCAUGGUAAGCCAGAUGUGAAAGCCUUGGGCUUAACCCGAGGAUUGCAUUUGGAACUAUCAAGCUAGAGUACAGGAGAGGAAAGCGGAAUUCCUAGUGUAGCGGUGAAAUGCGUAGAUAUUAGGAAGAACACCAGUGGCGAAGGCGGCUUUCUGGACUGAAACUGACGCUGAGGCACGAAAGCGUGGGGAGCGAACAGG
rnacentral:rRNA from 1 species